UUGCUUUGGCAGCAUAUAUAUUAAAUUAAAUUGAAAUGAUACAGAGAAGAUUAGCAUGACCCCUGCACAAGGAUGACAUGCAAAUCUGUGAAAUGUUCUAUAUUUUU